CCAUCUCCUCGUCGGCCAAGAAGUGGUACCGGAUCGACGCCAUCCCCGCAGCACAUCACCUAUCGCCCUCUGCUACUCGGCCACCCGAGAUCGCCUCCGCCAGCGGUUCCCCCGCCUGGAGUCGCUCAAGCUCAAGGGCAAGCCUAGGGCUUCCAUGUUCAACAACAUCAUUCCCGAGGACUGGGGAGGCUACGCCGCCCCGUGGGCCACCGAGAUCGCGGACUCCUUCUUGUGCCUGAAGGCGAUCCAUUUCCGGAGGAUGGUUGUCAAGGAUGACGACAUCGGUGUUCUGGUUCGAGGCCGAGGGCACAUGCUUCAUUCCCUGAAGCUCGACAAGUGCACGGGUUUCUCCACCGACGGGCUCAUCCUCGUUGCUCGUUCCUGCAGAUGUCUUAGAACCUUAUUCUUGGAGGAAAGCGUCAUAACUGAGGAGGAAGGCCAAUGGCUCCAUGAGCUAGCCAUUAAUAAUUCCGUUCUUGAAACUUUAAACUUUUACAUGACAGAUCUGAGUGUCUCAUGGCAGGACCUCGAGUUAAUUGCCAGGAACUGCAGAUUGUUAAAUUCCUUGAAAAUUUCCGAAUGUGAUAUCUCCCAUCUGGUCGGGUUCUUCCGUGCUGCAACAGCACUUGAGGAGUUUGGUGGGGGCUCUUUUGAUGACCAACUAGGAGAAAUCAACAAAUAUGAGAGGGUUAGAUUUCCUCCAAAUCUUUGCCGCUUAAGUCUCAGCUAUAUGGGAACAGAUGAGAUGCAAAUCAUAUUUCCAUUUGCUGCCUCACUGAAGAAACUUGACCUGCAAUAUACAUUUCUCACUACCGAGGAUCACUGUGAGCUGAUUCAACGAUGUCCCAAUUUAGAGAUUUUGGAGGUGAGGAAUGUGAUUGGAGACCGAGGAUUAGAAGUUGUUGCUCAGACGUGUAGGAGACUUAAAAGGCUGAGAAUUGAGCGGGGGGAAGACGAACAAGGCCUGGAGGACGAACAGGGAACAGUUUCACAUAGAGGGCUCUCUGCAAUUGCACAAGGCUGCCUGGACCUAGAGUACCUGGCUGUAUAUGUUUCUGAUAUCACGAAUUCUGCUUUGGAAGCUAUUGGCACUCACAGCAAAAACAUGUGCGACUUUAGGCUCGUAUUACUUGAUAGAGAAGAAAGGAUAACAGAACUGCCUCUUGACAGCGGGGUUCGUGCACUUUUACAAGGUUGUGCAAAGCUAAGGAGGUUUGCUUUUUAUCUUAGGCCUGGUGGCCUCACAGACGUGGGUCUUGGUUAUGUUGGUCAAUACAGCAGCAAUGUUAGAUGGAUGUUGUUAAGUAAUGUGGGGGAGUCUGAUUUUGGGCUUCUACAGUUCUCAAGAGGCUGUCCAAAACUGCAGAAGCUGGAGCUUAGAGGCUGCUGCUUCAGUGAGCGUGCUUUGGCGCUUGCUGCUCUGCAGUUAGGUUCUUUGAGAUAUUUAUGGGUUCAGGGUUACAAUGCCUCCCCAGAUGGUAAUGAUCUUCUGGCGAUGGUCCGUCCCUUCUGGAACAUAGAGUUCAUUCCCCCAAGACGAGUGAAUAGUUAUAUCGAGGAUGGCAGUGAGCAAGUUGAAGAUGGCAUUGAACAUCCAGCUCAGAUACUCGCAUACUAUUCUCUCGCAGGAAGGAGGAUGGACUGUCCAGAUACUGUGAUUCCUCUAAAUCCAGCAUGAGUGUAUAUACUGAAACUCUUCUGCCAUUUUCCCUCUAUCGCCUUUUUAUCCCCCUGUUUUCCGUGUGUAAUCGCUUUACUUUGUGUAUAUUAGCUUGCUCUCGUCAUUUUAACAACUUGCUGUGCUGCUGUCAUGUAAUAAGGUGGCGUCGGAGUUCUUUUUGCCAUUUUCAAAUCUGUUGUGUGCGCCAGUUAUUAUGGAUGGCUUUGGGCGAGAAUGGAACAUACGCUUUGUGAUAUCCAAAAACACGGUGUCCUUGGUUGAUAGUUCGUGAGCCUGGAGCUUCCGAUGCUAUGGAGGUUUCUGUGUUCUCCAAAAGUGUAGGCAGUUGGGACAUUUCAUCCACACCACGAAGGGAGAAUAAAUUGGAUUCUUAAUGUGUAUUUGAUUCUUCUCGUAGUCAGUUGCAACUGAUAUUGUAAUGCUAAUACAGCCAUAACGACGCUACUUUUGGUUGGGCGGCCGUAGUUAGUGUGGUGCUUCUUAUGUUGCGCUCGGCGUGUUUGUUCGCAAAUUUUUUUGGUGAAUAUGCAUCAUUCGGAUUGCACGUA